AGUAAUGUAUAGCAGAUGAAACAAUUGGUUACCUCACAAUGGGUAAACAUAUAAUGAGCUGUCCCUUAUAUAAUAUUUCUAUAUUUGUAUGUGUUACCUUAACUAAACUAACAUGCUGCCCAAUGUCAGUUUUUCGUCAACGAUGUUAUUGAAAGUAGGCUUGUCAGUCUUGUGGAGUGCAAAUCAGAAUAUGGAAUAUUUUUGUUUACUCAUCGAAGAAUGGCCAUCACCAAGGAUGAUAUUUCUUUGGAUAAAGUCGUCCCUAUCACCAAAGACUGUACAAUUGAAGAAGUCUUAAGUGAAUUUCCAGUGUUAGGCGCAGACAUGACUGUGAGGAUUACAUCUGACAGUGUGUUCCUUGAAUUGCAGCUGCCUUUCAGUUCACAUUCACAAAGGUUUCUAGAUGAAACAUGUAAAGCCUGCCAUGG